GACGAACGCUGGCGGCGUGCUUAACACAUGCAAGUCGAACGGUAAGGCCCUUCGGGGUACACGAGUGGCGAGCGGGUGAGUAACACGUGGGUGAUCUGCCCUGCACUUCGGGAUAAGCCUGGGAAACUGGGUCUAAUACCGGAUAGGACCACUGCCUGCAUGGGUGGUGGUGGAAAGCUUUUGCGGUGUGGGAUGGGCCCGCGGCCUAUCAGCUUGUUGGUGGGGUGAUGGCCUACAAAGGCGACGACGGGUAGCCGGCCUGAGAGGGUGACCGGCCACACUGGGACGGAGAUACGGCCCAGACUCCUACGGGAGGCAGCAGUAGGGAAUAUUGCACACUGGGCGCAAGGCUUAUGCAGCGACGCCGCGUGAGGGAUGACGGCCUUCGGGUUGUAAACCUCUUUCAGCACCGACGAAGCGCAAGUGACGGUAGGUGCAGAAGAAGGACCGGCCAACUACGUGCCAGCCGCCGCCGUAA
rnacentral:rRNA from 1 species